GAAUCUGUGGCGCAAUGGAAGUGCAUUUGAUUUCAAAUCAGAAGGUUGCGUGUUUAAUUCAUGUCGAGUGUA
rnacentral:tRNA from 1 species